rnacentral:tRNA from 5 species
GGUGACGUGUCCGAGCGGCCGAAGGUGCAUCACUCGAAAUGAUGUUUGGUGUUAAAGCCAACGAGGGUUCAAAUCCCUCCGUCACCGCCA